rnacentral:lncRNA from 1 species
CACACGCGCGCUCCCAGACACACACACAGACACACGCGGGCCACCCCACGGCCACGCACCCCGCACCCACACCCGCGCUCACACUCACAUUCACACUCACACUCACACGCGCAGGCCCCGCGGCCGCCGCUUCCCGGAGGCGGUGCUUGGCCCGGAUCCCGGCUGGGGCUGGGAAGGAGAGGACUUGGGUGAGGAGCUGCUGCCACCCGGGCUGGGCCAGGACCUGAGAUCUCAUUGCUACUGCUGCCGCUGCUGCCUGGGGAACCUUUCUGAGACCCAGGUUGGGGACAGUGCCGGAGGGGCCUCCUCUGCUGCAGACAUCUGGAACCAGGUGCAGAUGGGUCUCUUCCUUCCUGCCCCCAUCUCUCUCACUCCUGGCUCAGUGCGGCACUCUCCAGCCUCCUGUGGGAAUCAUCUGAAGUUCUGAGCCCGGAAGCCAAGGAGGAAGACGAGGAGGAGGAGGAGGAGGAGGAGGAGGAGGAGGGAGAGGAAGUCAAGCCCUGAGAACCCUUGCACCUUCCUAGCAGGAGACAAGGAGCAACGCUGCGGUGGGGAGCA